GACGAACGCUGGCGGCGUGCUUAACACAUGCAAGUCGAACGGAAAGGCCCUGCUUGCAGGGUACUCGAGUGGCGAACGGGUGAGUAACACGUGGGUGAUCUGCCCUGCACUUCGGGAUAAGCCUGGGAAACUGGGUCUAAUACCGGAUAGGAGCCAUUUUUAGUGUGAUGGUUGGAAAGUUUUUUCGGUGUAGGAUGAGCUCGCGGCCUAUCAGCUUGUUGGUGGGGUAAUGGCCUACCAAGGCGGCGCCGGGUAGCCGGCCUGAGAGGGUGGACGGCCACAUUGGGACUGAGAUACGGCCCAGACUCCUACGGGAGGCAGCAGUGGGGAAUAUUGCACAAUGGGCGCAAGCCUGAUGCAGCGACGCCGCGUGGGGGAUGACGGCCUUCGGGUUGUAAACUCCUUUCGCUAGGGACGAAGCUUUUGUGACGGUACCUAGAUAAGAAGCACCGGCUAACUACGUG
rnacentral:rRNA from 1 species